GAUGAACGCUGGCGGCGUGCCUAAUACAUGCAAGUCGAGCGAACAGAUGAGGAGCUUGCUCCUCUGACGUUAGCGGCGGACGGGUGAGUAACACGUGGAUAACCUACCUAUAAGACUGGGAUAACUUCGGGAAACCGGAGCUAAUACCGGAUAAUAUAUUGAACCGCAUGGUUCAAUAGUGAAAGACGGUUUUGCUGUCACUUAUAGAUGGAUCCGCGCCGCAUUAGCUAGUUGGUAAGGUAACGGCUUACCAAGGCAACGAUGCGUAGCCGACCUGAGAGGGUGAUCGGCCACAUUGGAACUGAGACACGGUCCAGACUCCUACGGGAGGCAGAAGUAGGGAAUCUGACGCAAUGGGCGAAAGCCUGACGGAGCAACGCCGCGUGAGUGAUGAAGGUCUUCGGAUCGUAAAACUCUGUUAUUAGGGAAGAACAAAUGUGUAAGUAACUAUGCACGUCUUGACGGUACCUAAUCAGAAAGCCACGGCUAACUACGUG
rnacentral:rRNA from 1 species